GAUGAAGAACGUAGCGAAAUGCGAUAAGUAAUGCGAAUUGCAGAAUCCGUGAGUCAUCGAAUCUUUGAACGCACAUUGCGCCCGCUAGUAUUCUGGCGGGCAUGCCUGUCCGAGCGUCAUUUCAACCCUCAAGCCCCCGGGCUUGGUGUUGGGGAUCGGCGAGCCUCCGCGCCCGCCGUCCCCUAAAUCUAGUGGCGGUCUCGCUGUAGCUUCCUCUGCGUAGUAGCACACCUCGCACUGGGAAACAGCGCGGCCACGCCGUUAAACCCCCAACUUCUGAACGUUUGACCUCGGAUCAGGUAGGAAUACCCGCUGAACUUAAGCAUAUCAAUAAGCGGAGGA
rnacentral:misc_RNA from 1 species